GCUGGCACUGGGAGCCACAGGUGACCACAGGGGUGGUGAGGAGCUGCUGCGGAGGGCAGAAGACUCUAGAAGACUCGUCUCCGGUUCUGACAGCCUCGUGUUUGAAUUCCGCUUUCUCGCCAUAGCCGUCACCUCUCUGACCCCCAGAGCCCUAGCAGGGACGAUGACCCUUACCCGACUCAUGCUACAGCUGCAGCCAGGGAUCCAGGUACUGGGAGAAAAAGGAAAAGAGGGCUGGUCAGCAGCUGAGCUCUGCGCCCAGAAGUUCUGCCUCCUCCAGGGAGCCUUUCCUGACUUCUUCAGCCUUCAUCGCUCCUCUCAAAGCCCUGCAACAGAGACUACCAGCCAGGAGCUCACCCUGCCAGGCACAGUGUGAUCUGCCUGAGGCUGGACGCAGCGCAGGGGCUAGGUGAAGAACUGGAGGUCCUAAUGGCCCUCUUCCCAUAGUGCACUGCUGAAAGGGAGCCAGACUGGCCCACUGGUGCCCACUGACCCCAGGGACCUCCACUCUCCUUUCCUGGGUUGUGGGCUACUUUUCAGUGUGGAAUCCCCUUUGCCUGGCCUGCCCCCCAUCUGUUACCCCAGUCAUCUCUGACUGCUCAGGAGAACCUAAUGGGGGAUUUACAACGAUCCCGAGUGAGGCUCCUGGCACUGCGUGGGCAGGAAGCGAGGUCUCCCUCCUCUGAGCUCAGGGGGAAGUUUCUGCCCCAAGAAGGCCCCUCACCUGCACCUGCCCCAAAGCCAGGAACGACACCAGCUCCAAAGCCAGGAACGCCAGCAGGAAGCCCAGCUGCAGCCCCUGGGGGAGAUGGGCAGGGGUGUGGCGGUUGCAGGCAGGGAGCAUGCGUCCCUGGGGGUGUCCCCCCCAGGGAGAUGAGUCAGGCCCCAAGGGCGGGCCCCGGACCCAUGCAGGGGUACCCCUGUGCUUAACCUGCCCUCUGUACUGCUCCCAAGAAUUGUCUUCCUAAAACUCCCACUGACCGCCAAGUCCAGCCCCUCUCAAGCUGGUGUUCAGGGCUGCGCGGCGGCUGUGGACACCACUGUUCUUUCCUGCCCGAUCCCCUGCUCCUUCCUUCAUGGAUGAACUCACUGCUGACAACCAUCCACCACAGCGCCACCAGCACCCACGUGUCACAUAUAAGGACAGGAAACUCGGAGGCUGCUUUGCUAGUGCAGGACGCAGGAGUUGAACCCAGGUCUCUCUCACACCCAGUCUAUGCUUCCAACCCCUUGGGUGCUGAGGCUGCAUAUCGUGGGGCCCAGCUCAGGCUUGGGUCCCACUGGGCCAGCCCGAGGCUCACCGGGGUGAGGAGGGAAAGCGGGUAGGGCACUCACGGUACUGGGCUUUGGCAGCUGCUUUAGCAGCGGACUUGGCUGCAGCUGGGGCCCCUGCUCCUGCAGGGGGAGGGAGGGGUUUCAGGGACGGCACCCGUGAGGAUUCAGAGGCCCCUCAGGCCCACUUAUUCAAGUGGCUCACCUGUAACACCGCCGGGGCCAAUGCCAAUGCCGGGAACCACGCCGGGAGCCACACCGGGAACCACGCCAGGAGCCACACCAGGAGCCACACCAAUACCAGGGCCUAAUCCUGCAACAGUGAGAAGAGCUAAUUCUUAACCAAGUCCUGACCGAGGAGGACAGAGCCGCAGGCUGGGAGUCAAGAACCUUGAGAUCUUGUCCCAGCCCCGAUGCAGACUUGCUGUGUGACCUUGAACAAGUUACUUUCCCUUGA